rnacentral:tRNA from 1 species
AUUACUUUGGCAGAUAAGUGCAGUGGAUUUAGAAUUCAUUAAUGUAGUUGUUGUAUUUACUACAGGUAAUA